rnacentral:rRNA from 1 species
GGGAGGCAGCAGUAGGGAAAUCCUCGCAUGAACGGAAGUUCGGACGGGAGGCAACGCGGCGUUGAGGUGGAUGAAGGGUUUUCGGGAUCGUAAAGCUCUGUUGUUAGGGAAGAACAAAGUGCGAGAGUAACUGCUCGCACCUUGGACGGUACCUAAACCAGGAAAGCACGGGCUAACUACGUGCCAGCAGCCGCGGUAAUACGUAGGUGGCAAGCGUUGUCCGGAAAUUAUUGGGCGUAAAGGGCUCGCAGGCGGUUUCUUAAGUCUGAUGUGAAAGCCCCCGGCUCAACCGGGGAGGGUCAUUGGAAACUGGGAAACUUGAGUGCAGAAGAGGAGAGUGGAAUUCCACGUGUAGCGGUGAAAUGCGUAGAGAUGUGGAGGAACACCAGUGGCGAAGGCGACUCUCUGGUCUGUAACUGACGCUGAGGAGCGAAAGCGUGGGGAGCGAACAGGAUUAGAUACCCUGGUAGUCCACGCCGUAAACGAUGAGUGCUAAGUGUUAGGGGGUUUCCGCCCCUUAGUGCUGCAGCUAACGCAUUAAGCACUCCGCCUGGGGAGUACGGUCGCAAGACUGAAACUCAAAGGAAUUGACGGGGGCCCGCACAAGCGGUGGAGCAUGUGGUUUAAUUCGAAGCAACGCGAAGAACCUUACCAGGUCUUGACAUCCUCUGACAACCCUAGAGAUAGGGCUUUCCCUUCGGGGACAGAGUGACAGGUGGUGCAUGGUUGUCGUCAGCUCGUGUCGUGAGAUGUUGGGUUAAGUCCCGCAACGAGCGCAACCCUUGAUCUUAGUUGCCAGCAUUCAGUUGGGCACUCUAAGGUGACUGCCGGUGACAAACCGGAGGAAGGUGGGGAUGACGUCAAAUCAUCAUGCCCCUUAUGACCUGGGCUACACACGUGCUACAAUGGACAGAACAAAGGGCUGCAAGACCGCAAGGUUUAGCCAAUCCCAUAAAUCUGUUCUCAGUUCGGAUCGCAGUCUGCAACUCGACUGCGUGAAGCUGGAAUCGCUAGUAAUCGCGGAUCAGCAUGCCGCGGUGAUUACGUUCCCGGGCCUUCACACUCCGUCGUUCCCAGCUAACCAGCUAGAGCUUGAUCCUGGCUCAGGAUAAGUCGUAACAAGGUAAGCCAUGCUAGAGUUGACG